rnacentral:tRNA from 1 species
GGUUGUGACUCAGUGGUAGAGCACUUGCCUCGUAUAUGUGAAGAGCUGGGUUUGAUCUUCAGCACCACAUAAAAAAAAUAAACAAAACAGUUCAAAAAAUUAAAAAAAAAAGUUAGGCUUUAGGACUGGGAGUAUUGCUCACUGGUGUAGUACACGCUUAGCGUGUGCAAGGCCAUGGGUUCAAUGCCCCUCCUCAACCA